GACAGAGGGUGCAAACGUUGCUCGGAAUUACUGGGCGUAAAGGGCAUGUAGGCGGGCAGGUAAGUCGGGCGUGAAAUCCCUAGGCUCAACCUAGGAACUGCACUCGAAACUACCAGCCUUGAGUGCCGGAGAGGAAAGCGGAAUUCCUGGUGUAGAGGUGAAAUUCGUAGAUAUCAGGAGGAACACCAGUGGCGAAGGCGGCUUUCUGGACGGUGACUGACGCUGAGACGCGAAAGCGUGGGGAGCAAACAGG
rnacentral:rRNA from 1 species